rnacentral:rRNA from 1 species
GAUGAACGCUAGCUACAGGCUUAACACAUGCAAGUCGAGGGGAAACGACAUCGAAAGCUUGCUUUUGAUGGGCGUCGACCGGCGCACGGGUGAGUAACGCGUAUCCAACCUGCCCAUCACUUGGGAAUAACCUUGCGAAAGUAAGACUAAUACCCAAUGAUAUCCCACGAAGGCAUCGGAAUGGGAUUAAAGAUUUAUCGGUGAUGGAUGGGGAUGCGUCUGAUUAGCUUGUUGGCGGGGUAACGGCCCACCAAGGCAACGAUCAGUAGGGGUUCUGAGAGGAAGGCCCCCCACAUUGGAACUGAGACACGGUCCAAACCCCUACGGGGGGAAGCAGUGGGGAAUAUUGGCCAAGGGGGGAGGGCCUGAACCAGCCAAGUAGCGUGCAGGAAGACGGCCCUAUGGGUUGUAAACUGUUUUUAUAAGGGAAUAAAGGGGGUAACGUGUGACUUUUUGCAUGUACCUUAAGAAUAAGGACCGGCUAAUUCCGU